rnacentral:ribozyme from 1 species
UGCAGAAUGAGAGAAUGAAGAAGAGGAUGGAUGAAACAAGAGAAAUAUUGUGUGAUGCGUGUUUUGACGAGAGCAUGAAUUGCACAAUCAAAAUUGUUUUACUUACUUUCUUUUGUUUUUCUUUCUUCCUUUCUUUGUUUGUUUUUCU